AAUUACUCCCAGUGAGGUCUAAAGCACUGUUCAGGGGGUGCUGUGAACUUAUCAUUAAAGCCAGCUGUGACCUCACUGAACGUUUCCCUUUGUGUCUCACAACACAAGGGGGUAGUCACAGCCUGCCCUCUAAAGACAACUCUCUUCCUCCACACAAAACUACAAGCACCUAAUAACACACACACCCUUCACUCAAAAAAUUUUAAAAUCAUGGCGACUCCUACACCAGCCUCGGAGUCCCCAUCUGGGGAGGGGACCAUAAAAUUAAUGUCCCCAGGUCGGACUGCCUUUCCGUCUACGACCCUAAGUGUCUUGACACCCCCCUCAACUUUUUCUUCAUUAACUUCUGCAACAUUCACGGUCUAAGAUCUAAUUUUCAAUCUGUAGAACACCACCUCUCCUCUUCUAAACCUCAUUUUCUUUUCCUCACUGAAACUCAGGUGUCUGAGGCAACUGACAGUAGCCCCUUUUCUGUUCCCUCCUACUUUCUCUGUCCUCAUUUUUGUAUCAUUAAAAUGAUAUGUUAACCAUCUAUUAUUUAUUUAUACAAUAUAUUGUUGUUAUCUGUGUUAAAGAAAAUGUAAGUUGUGUUUUGUUGGAAUGGGAGAAGUUUGGUACGCUUCUUUGUGGUGUUUUGUUUCACCCACUACCUGUGAACAUGGUCGGCCUGGCGGGUUGUCUAAGCCGGCCCACCAAUGUACUGUGGGUUGUUGUGUUGGGUGGUCAUCUGUGCUACAGACGGAGAAUGUAGGGACGCCCUGGACCUCAUGUCGGUUGGUGUGUUGGUUGGUCCUCCGUGCUACAGGUUAGUUGUGUUUAUUUACCUGCCAUGUGCUGUGAUUAGUAUAAUUUGGUGAAGGUUACAAAUAGAGGAUGUAUUAGUAAGAUAGGGUAAUGUACAAGGGAUAUAUUGUUGCCAGACAGAGUUGUGAGGACGCCCUGGACUGGAUGAUAGUUGGGGUGACAUGUCAGGUGUGCUACGGGGAUUCGAAGAGUGUCAGUGUGGGCCACUGAAGUGAGUACAUUAUGGGAAUUUAUUGAGUAUUAUGAGUGAUAUACAAGUGAAGUUAGUUGGAUUUUGUAUACUGAUUGUUGCUUUAUUUUUAUAUUUGGGGAUAUGAUUGUAACGGAUGUCAGAAUCUCUACAUGAAGUGUUAUUUUCUUGGUACCAUUGUGAGGGAUUGAACUGGGUGUACUAUGAUAUGUGGAUGUGUAUUGAUUUGCCCAUGUUUGCAGGUCGAAACACUUCAAGCAAUAAACACCUGUUACGA